UACGGAGGACGCGAGCGUUAUCCGGAUUUAUUGGGUUUAAAGGGUGCGCAGGCGGAUUUUUAAGUCAGCGGUGAAAGUCUGUGGCUCAACCAUAGAAUUGCCGUUGAAACUGGGGGGCUUGAGUAUGUUUGAGGCAGGCGGAAUGCGUGGUGUAGCGGUGAAAUGCAUAGAUAUCACGCAGAACGCCGAUUGCGAAGGCAGCAUACCGGCGCCCUACUGACGCUGAGGCACGAAAGCGUGGGUAUCGAACAGG
rnacentral:rRNA from 1 species